CCUACGGGUGGCAGCAGUGGGGAAUAUUGGGCAAUGGGCGCAAGCCUGACCCAGCAACGCCGCGUGAAGGAAGAAGGCCCUCGGGUUGUAAACUUCUUUUAUCAAGGACGAAACAAAUGACGGUACUUGAUGAAUAAGCCACGGCUAACUACGUGCCAGCAGCCGCGGUAAUACGUAGGUGGCAAGCGUUAUCCGGAUUUACUGGGUGUAAAGGGCGUGUAGGCGGGAGAUUAAGUUAAGAGUGAAAGCCUUGGGCUCAACCCAAGAAAUGCUCUUAAUACUGGUUUUCUAGAGUGUGGGAGAGGUAAGUGGAAUUCCUAGUGUAGCGGUAGAAUGCGUAGAGAUUAGGAGGAACAUCAGAGGCGAAGGCGGCUUACUGGACCAUAACUGACGCUGAGGCUCGAAAGCGUGGGGAGCAAACAGGAUUAGAUACCCGUGUAGUC
rnacentral:rRNA from 1 species